CCUACGGGAUCUGCAGUGGGGAAUAUUGGACAAUGGGCGAAAGCCUGAUCCAGCCAUGCCGCGUGUGUGAAGAAGGCCUUCGGGUUGUAAAGCACUUUCAGUGGGGAAGAAAGCCUUGGGGCUAAUACCCUCGAGGAAGGACAUCACCCACAGAAGAAGCACCGGCUAACUCCGUGCCAGCAGCCGCGGUAAUACGGAGGGUGCGAGCGUUAAUCGGAAUUACUGGGCGUAAAGCGCGCGUAGGCGGUCUGAUAAGCCGGUUGUGAAAGCCCCGGGCUCAACCUGGGAACGGCAUCCGGAACUGUCAGGCUAGAGUGCAGGAGAGGAAGGUAGAAUUCCCGGUGUAGCGGUGAAAUGCGUAGAGAUCGGGAGGAAUACCAGUGGCGAAGGCGGCCUUCUGGACUGACACUGACGCUGAGGUGCGAAAGCGUGGGUAGCAAACAGGAUUAGAUACCCCAGUAGUC
rnacentral:rRNA from 1 species